rnacentral:rRNA from 1 species
CGCGUAGGCGGGCUGUCAAGUCUGGGGUGAAAUCCCACGGCUCAACCGUGGAACUGCCUUAGAUACUGACGGCCUCGAGGGAGAUAGGGGCGAGCGGAACUGUGAGUGGAGCGGUGAAAUGCGUUGAUAUUCACAGGAACUCCGGUGGCGAAGGCGGCUCGCUGGAUCUUUUCCGACGCUGAGGCGCGAAAGCUAGGGGAGCAAACG